rnacentral:rRNA from 1 species
AAGUCGAGCGGCAGCGGGUCCUUCGGGAUGCCGGCGAGCGGCGGACGGGUGAGGAAUACAUCGGAAUCUGCCCAGUCGUGGGGGAUAACUUAGGGAAACUUAAGCUAAUACCGCAUGCGACCUACGGGUGAAAGCGGGGGACCUUCGGGCCUCGCGCGAUUGGAUGAGCCGAUGUCGGAUUAGCUAGUUGGCGGGGUAAAGGCCCACCAAGGCGACGAUCCGUAGCUGGUCUGAGAGGAUGAUCAGCCACACUGGGACUGAGACACGGCCCAGACUCCUACGGGAGGCAGCAGUGGGGAAUAUUGGACAAUGGGGGCAACCCUGAUCCAGCCAUGCCGCGUGUGUGAAGAAGGCCUUCGGGUUGUAAAGCACUUUUGUCCGGAAAGAAAUCGUUUCGGUUAAUACCCGGAGCGGAAGACGGUACCGGAAGAAUAAGCACCGGCUAACUUCGUGCCAGCAGCCGCGGUAAUACGAAGGGUGCAAGCGUUACUCGGAAUUACUGGGCGUAAAGCGUGCGCAGGCGGUUUGUUAAGUCUGAUGUGAAAGCCCCGGGCUCAACCUGGGAAUGGCAUUGGAAACUGGCAGGCUAGAGUGCGGUAG